rnacentral:lncRNA from 1 species
AUUAUUUUACUUAUGCUUAGUAUAAGCCGACAUGUUGGAUGUAUAAUCCAUAAUUUGUCGAAAAACUUAAAGCUAAUAUAUUUAAGCCCAAAUAAAAGAGUCUAAAUCUAACUCUAGAUGAAAUACCUAACUUUGUAAAAAAUCAAAUCUCUUGCGUCCUCUGAAAUUUACAAAAAAUUCCUCAAAACUGAAUAUAACCGAGCGACGUUCCAGGCAAAACAUACGGGUUAUCAUUGUCAUGGUUUGUGAGGGUAAGCUGUUAAUUUUCAGACGAAGUGAACAGUGUCAGAAAGAACCAAUAGGGCGGCGCGCCGAGGCCGACCAUCGCCNN